rnacentral:rRNA from 1 species
UGGGGAAUAUUGGACAAUGGGCGAAAGCCUGAUCCAGCCAUGCCGCGUGUGUGAAGAAGGUCUUCGGAUUGUAAAGCACUUUAAGUUGGGAGGAAGGGCAGUAAGCGAAUACCUUGCUGUUUUGACGUUACCGACAGAAUAAGCACCGGCUAACUCUGUGCCAGCAGCCGCGGUAAUACAGAGGGUGCAAGCGUUAAUCGGAAUUCCUGGGCGUAAAGCGCGCGUAGGUGGUUCAUUAAGUUGAAUGUGAAAGCCCCGGGCUCAACCUGGGAACUGCAUCCGAAACUGGGGAGCUAGAGUAGGGCAGAGGGUGGUGGAAUUUCCUGUGUAGCGGUGAAAUGCGUAGAUAUAAGAAGGAACACCAGUGGCGAAGGCGACCACCUGGGCUCAUACUGACACUGAGGUGCGAAAGCGUGGGGAGCAAACAGG